rnacentral:lncRNA from 1 species
AUGUGGUCGUACUCACAAAUCCAUCUGGUUUGCAACAGGACUUGCACAGCAUCGCACUGCCUGCUUUUCACAGGUUUUCACCUGUGUGGAGCAAAAACUCUUCAGACCAUGAAUUUCAGUGGUUGUGCUGCUGAAAGGAUUACGUCAGUACUGUGCUAUUCUGUUCAGCAUGGAGAGGAGAUUUUUUGAGUGAAAAUCCUCAGUUUUUUUUGUGAAUACAUGCCGUGCACUAUGACAAAAGCACUUCACUGGUCGCCAUACCCUACAGCAAAGGUCUGCUGUUGAGAUGGUGUGGAGGGGAGCUUUAACAGGCAUUGUUUCUCUUCUGAGCACUUAUGAGAAGGAAUGUCUCAUAGACUCAACUAAAGAAAGAGCUGAACAGUUUUAAGAGGAUUGUUUUGAUUCCCCAUGGGGCUCAGCUCCGUGUCACUGUGUAAACAGCUUGGCUUGUGUAAGAGAUAGCUCCUGUAGAAUGAUCAGCAGGGCUUAUAUGCAUGGAGCUCCCCAUUAGCUUCUCUCUCAGCCCCAUUGUUGCAGGAUUGGCAAUGACUGAUCCAGCUCUGCAGGCAUUAACCUUUUCCACCAACAGAAUCAGAAAGGAAUGACAGCAAGCUCAGCUAUGGAUAUCAAGCCAAGGACUCACCAUAUGGUGUUUUUGUUUCCCACAAGGGGAAAGAUUGCUUUAAGGACGAAGGGCCAAAUUCAUCCCCGGUGUAAGACUAUUAAAUUCAGUAGUGUUAGAUCAAGCAUGAAUUUAACAACAAACUAAUUCUAUGUGAUGGGGAGCAGAAGUCAAGAGUUUUUGUUUGUUAGUUUAUUUUUUAAAAUAGCCCUAGGAUGUCUGCAAGGUAAACUCAGUUGAGCCAAGGUUUAUUUAUUUAUUUAUUUAUUUUUAUUUUUUAUUUUUUUUAAUGCCUAACUGACAUCUGUUCCCUAAAAGCCUGCAGCAGACUGGAACAGUUUUCCAACCUUUUCCCCUUCUAUUAACCACUGAGAACUUCUGCAACAGCCAGAGAUGGUGAAAUGGCAUGUUUUGUAUGAAAAUGGGCACUACAAACGACCCAACAGACAUUACUGUGUUAAAACACUGUUUUAGUGGUGCUAUACUCAAGAAAGAAAUAUGACAAGAAAGCUUUCCAACAAUGAAUUGUGAAUUUUGUUAAAGUUCUCUUAGAGAUCUAUUAACAUCAACAGCAGAUGCGUUUUAGCAUCAUUGCUGUCACCAUGUGCAUUAAUGAAAUGAGACCAGGGACAAUAGAUUGUGAGCUAGCCAAACUACUGACAGUCUAAGCCCCUCUUUUACAUUUUCAGAGCAUUUGAUGUGUAGAUCAAUUACAGAGCCUAUUUCGAGUCUUCUUCUAUAGCACAGCAGCUAUGACAUGCAGAACCCCCAUAAUGCAGCCCUUCAGUUAAGUGCACAUUGGUACACUUUUAUCUUUACAGCAUGUUAUCUCAUUUUUACAGGUUACUGGAUGUGAAUUGGUUGAAAUGUAAAGAGCAAGUGAGGAACCUGGCUUUUAGCCUUGAUGAGUUAAUAAAUAGAUGGAAAAAAAAAAAAAAAAAAAAAGG